rnacentral:rRNA from 1 species
UCUACGGGUGGCAGCAGUGAGGAAUAUUGGUCAAUGGACGAGAGUCUGAACCAGCCAAGUAGCGUGAAGGAUGACUGCCCUAUUGGUUGUAAACUUCUUUUAUAUGGGAAUAAAAUGUUCCACGUGUGGGAUUUUGUAUGUACCAUAUUAAUAAGGAUCGGCUAACUCCGUGCCAGCAUCCGCGGUAAUACUGAGGAUCCGAGCGUUAUCCGGAUUUAUUGGGUUUAAAGGGAGCGUAGGUGGAUUGUUAAGUCAGUUGUGAAAGUUUGCGGCUCAACCAUAAAAUUGCAGUUGAAACUGGCAGUCUUGAGUACAGUAGAGGUGGGCGGAAUUCGUGGUGUAGCGGUGAAAUGCUUAGAUAUCACGAAGAACUCCGAUUGCGAAGGCAGUUCACUGGACUGCAACUGACACUGAGGCUCGAAAGUGUGGGUAUCAAACAGGAUUAGAUACCCCUGUAGUC